rfam:Lodderomyces elongisporus NRRL YB-4239 supercont1.2 genomic scaffold, whole genome shotgun sequence.
GCCUGCGUGGCGAAAUUGGUUAUCGCUUUUGACUUCUAAUCAAAGGAUUCCGGGUUCGAGUCCCGGCGUGGGUU